rnacentral:tRNA from 4 species
GGGCGAUUGGCUCAGUGGUAGAGCGCUACCUUGACACGGUAGAGGUCACUGGUUCGAACCCAGUAUCGCCCACCG